rnacentral:rRNA from 1 species
AAAUGUAAAGCGUUAUGUGGAUCGAACAUUAGUAGAGAAGCGUGUGAGCCAGCUGCCAAGAAAAGCCGCUAUUGUUUCAUAAGUACCCGUACCGUAAACCGACACAGGUGGAUGAGGAGAGAAUCCUAAGGCCGGCGGGAGAAGUGUUGUUAAGGAACUCGGCAAAAUGACUCCGUAACUUCGGGAGAAGGAGUGCCACAGAGAUGUGGCCGCAGAGAAAUGGCCCAAGCAACUGUUUAGCAAAAACACAGGUCUAUGCAAAACCGAAAGGUGAGGUAUAUGGGCUGACGCCUGCCCGGUGCUGGAAGGUUAAGAGGAGAGGUUAGAGCAAUCGAAGCUUUGAAUUUAAGCCCCAGUAAACGGCGGCCGUAACUAUAACGGUCCUAAGGUAGCGAAAUUCCUUGUCGGGUAAGUUCCGACCCGCACGAAAGGCGUAAUGAUUUGGGCACUGUCUCAACAACACACCCGGUGAAAUUGAAAUACCAGUGAAGAUGCUGGUUACCUGCGCCAGGACGGAAAGACCCCAUGGAGCUUUACUCCAGUUUGAUACUGGGAUUCGGUACUGUCUGUACAGGAUAGGUGGAGGGCUAGGAAAUGGUGACGCCAGUUGCCAUGGAGCCAACCUUGGGAUACCACCCUUACAGUACUGGGUUUCUAACCUGCAGCCGUAACCCGGCUGGGGGACAAUGUCUGACGGGGAGUUUGACUGGGGCGGUCGCCUCCGAAAGAGUAUCGGAGGCGCUCAAAGGUUCCCUCAGAACGGUUGGAAACCGUUCGAAGAGUGCAAAGGCAGAAGGGAGCUUGACUGCGACACCGACGGGUGGAGCAGAUACGAAAGUAGGACUUAGUGAUCCGGUGGUAUAAAGUGGGAUUGCCAUCGCUCAACGGAUAAAAGCUACCCUGGGAUAACAGGCUUAUCACUCCCAAGAGUUCACAUCGACGGAGUGGUUUGGCACCUCGAUGUCGGCUCAUCGCAUUCUGGAGCUGUAGCAGGUUCCAAGGGUUGGGCUGUUCGCCCAUUAAAGCGGUACGCGAGCUGGGUUCAGAACGUCGUGAGACAGUUCGGUCCCUAUCCGGCGUGGGCGUAGGAUAUUUGAGAGGAGCUGUCCUUAGUACGAGAGGACCGGGAUGGACAAACCUCUGGUGUAUCUGUUGUUUUACCAAAGGCAUGGCAGAGUAGCCAAGUUUGGCAGGGAUAAACGCUGAAGGCAUCUAAGCGUGAAGCCCCCCUCAAGAUAAGAUAUCCCAUCUUCGGAGUAAGACCCCUUGAAGACUACAAGGUUGAUAGGCUUCAGGUGUAAGUGUGGUAACGCACUCAGCUGAGAAGUACUAAUAGGUCGAGGACUUAUCU